GGGCGUGUGGUGUAGUGGUAUCACGUCUGCUUCGCAUGCAGAAUGGCCCGAAUUCAAAUCUCGGCACGUCCA
rnacentral:tRNA from 1 species